AUUGAACGCUGGCGGCAUGCUUUACACAUGCAAGUCGAACGGUAACAGGCCGCAAGGUGCUGACGAGUGGCGAACGGGUGAGUAAUGCAUCGGAACGUGCCCAGUCGUGGGGGAUAACGCAGCGAAAGCUGUGCUAAUACCGCAUACGAUCUAUGGAUGAAAGCGGGGGACCGUAAGGCCUCGCGCGAUUGGAGCGGCAGAUGUCAGAUUAGGUAGUGGGUGGGGUAAAGGCCCACCAAGCCAACGAUCUGUAGCUGGUCUGAGAGGACGACCAGCCACACUGGGACUGAGACACGGCCCAGACUCCUACGGGAGGCAGCAGUGGGGAAUUUUGGACAAUGGGCGCAAGCCUGAUCCAGCAAUGCCGCGUGCAGGAAGAAGGCCUUCGGGUUGUAAACUGCUUUUGUACGGAACGAAACGGUCUGGGUUAAUACCCUGGGCUAAUGACGGUACCGUAAGAAUAAGCACCGGCUAACUACGUGCCAGCAGCCGCCGUAAUAC
rnacentral:rRNA from 1 species